CAUCUUCUACAAUCAGAUUCCCGCCCCCUUCCCCCCGCGCAAAAGAAAACCCUGUUCAUCUUUCAAGCUUCCUACUCCUUUCCUUCUUGCUGAUGCUUCCCUUCAAUCAGACUGCAUCAGGGCUCCGUCCAAGUAUCUUGAAGUAUAGCAAUAAAGGAAGAUUUUUUGGGUUGUUGCAAUUUAUUACUGAUUUUGGGGUCAACUUAGCAAGAAGAUUUCACGGAGCACUAUCAGAGCCUCAAAAUGGAAGAAGUGGUCAAGUACAUGCUAGCAAAUUUAGCCAUUUUUCCCAGCCUGCCCUUAAUUUGCCCACUUCAAUCACUUGGAAUACAGAAGUGGGAGAGCAAGCCAAUGACUUGUUUUUAUCACUUUCUAACCACCCAAAUACAGAAGUUUCAUGCUUUUCUCAAAAGGGUUAUUCUCUGAUCACAGAAGAAAUUGUUGGCAGAACAGUUCAUGCCAUUUGCUUAAAGAGUUGGGUGAGGUUGAGUGUGUUCCAGACCAAUACGUUGAUCAAUAUGUAUUCAAAGUUUGGUCGUAUAAAAUAUGCUCGGUUAGUAUUUGAUGAAAUGCCUGAGAGAAACGAAGCUUCUUGGAAUAGUAUGAUGUCAGGUUAUGUUCGAGUGGGUUCAUACUUGGAAGCAGUAUUGUUCUUUCGAGAUAUUUGUGGGAUAGGCGUUAAACCAAGUGGAUUUGUGAUCGCGAGUUUAGUCACUGCUUGUAAUAAGUCCUCUUGUAUGGCCAAUGAAGGUUUCCAACUUCAUGGUUUUGCAUUUAAAUGUGGUUUGAUAUAUGAUGUUUUCGUAGGUACUUCUUUUGUGCACUUUUAUGGUAGCUAUGGGAUUGUCUCUAACGCUCAAAAGAUGUUCAAUGAGAUGCCUGAUAGGAAUGUGGUCUCUUGGACUUCUUUGAUGGUUUCAUAUUCCGAUAACGGAAGUAAGGAGGAAGUGAUAAAUACUUAUAAACGUAUGCGGCGUGAAGGAAUAUGCUGCAAUGAAAACAAUAUAGCUUUAGUAAUUAGUUCUUGUGGGUUUCUUGUGGAUGUACUGUUGGGUCAUCAACUUCUUGGACAUGUUUUAAAGUUUGGAUUAGAGACUAAAGUUUCUGCUGCUAACUCUCUCAUAUCCAUGUUCGGUGGUUGUGGUGACAUUGACGAGGCUUGCAGUAUUUUCAAUGAGAUGAAUGAAAGAGACACAAUCUCAUGGAAUUCCAUCAUCUCUGCAAAUGCGCAAAAUGCACUACAUGAAGAAUCAUUUAGGUAUUUUUACUGGAUGCGCUCGAUCCAUGAAGAGAUAAAUGAUACAACACUUUCUAUUUUGUUAUCAAUUUGUGGCUCUUUAGAUUAUUUGAAGUGGGGAAAAGGUGUUCACGGUCUAGUAGUGAAAUAUGGACUAGAACCUAAUAUUUGUCUUUGUAACACUCUUUUAAGCAUGUAUUCUGAUGCUGGAAGAUCUGAAGAUGCAGAAAUGAUCUUUAGAAGAAUGCCAGAAAGGGAUUUAAUCUCAUGGAAUUCCAUGUUAGCAUGCUAUGUUCAGGAUGGAAGGUGCUUGUGUGCCUUAAAUGUUUUUGCUGAGAUGCUUUGGAUGAAAAAGGAGAUCAAUUAUGUGACAUUUACAAGUGCAUUGGCUGCCUGUUUAGAUCCAGGAUUCCUUACCGAAGGGAAAAUUCUCCACGGUUCUGUCAUCAUUCUCGGUCUGCAAGAUGAUUUGAUCAUUGGAAACACAUUAAUUACAUUUUAUGGGAAGUGCCAUAAGAUGGCUGAGGCGAAAAAGUUAUUACAAAGGAUGCCCAAGCAUGACAAAGUAACUUGGAAUGCACUUAUAGGUGGUUUUGCUGAUAAUGCAGAACCGAAUGAGGCAGUAGCAGCUUUCAAAUUGAUGAGGGAAGGGGGUACUUGCGGUGUCGACUAUAUUACCGUUGUAAAUACGCUCGGUUCUUGUUUGACUAAUGAGGAUCUGAUCAAAUAUGGGAGGCCCAUUCAUGCGCAUACAGUUGUGACGGGAUUUGAUCUGGAUCAGCAUGUCCAAAGUUCCCUUAUCACAAUGUAUGCAAAAUGUGGUGACCUUCACUCUAGUAGCUAUAUCUUUGAUAAAUUGGUGUUUAAAACUUCUAGUGUGUGGAAUGCCAUCAUUACUGCAAAUGCUCGUUAUGGAUUCGGAGAAGAGGCUUUGAAACUUGUAGUAAGGAUGAGACGUGCUGGAAUUGAAUUUGAUCAGUUCAACUUCUCUGCUGCUCUUUCAGUCACUGCCGACUUGGCUAUGUUGGAGGAAGGCCAACAGCUUCAUGGAUCAACGCUUAAACUAGGAUUUGAAUGUGAUCAUUUUGUUAUAAAUGCUGCUAUGGAUAUGUAUGGGAAGUGUGGGGAACUGGAUGAUGCUUUAAAAAUACUUCCCCGGCCAACCAAUAGGUCACGAUUGUCAUGGAAUACAUUGAUAUCAGUUUUUGCCAGACAUGGACAUUUUCAUAAGGCUAGGGAAACUUUUCAUGAGAUGCUAAAACUAGGUAUAAAACCUGAUCAUGUAUCAUUUAUAUGUCUUCUUUCCGCAUGUAGUCAUGGGGGGUUAGUCGACGAGGGUCUUGCAUAUUAUGCUUCAAUGACUUCUGAAUAUGGAAUUCAACCUGGAAUUGAACAUUGUGUGUGCAUGAUUGAUCUUCUUGGAAGAUCAGGAAGGCUUGUAGAAGCUGAAGCUUUUAUUGCAGAUAUGCCAAUACCACCUAAUGAUCUUGUUUGGCGGAGCCUUUUGGCUUCUUGUAGAAUAUAUUGCAAUCUAGACCUCGGAAGAAAGGCUGCAGAGAACCUUCUUGAGUUGGAUCCAUCUGAUGAUUCAGCUUAUGUUCUUUACUCGAAUGUCUUCGCAACAAUUGGCAGAUGGAAAGAUGUCGAAGACGUGCGGGGACAAAUGGGUGCACGCAAAAUUCAAAAGAAACCUGCACAUAGCUGGGUCAAAUGGAAGGGAAAUAUCAGCAUAUUUGGAAUGGGAGACCAAACACAUUCACAAACGGACCAGAUCAAUGACAAGUUGUUAGAACUUAUGAAAAUGGUUAGAGAAGCUGGUUAUGUUCCUGAUACAAGCUACUCACUGCAGGAUACCGAUGAAGAACAGAAGGAGCAUAAUAUGUGGAACCAUAGCGAAAGAAUUGCUCUUGCGUUUGGAUUGAUCAAUAUUCCAGAAGGUACUACUGUUCGGAUUUUCAAGAAUCUUCGUGUUUGUGGUGACUGCCAUUCUUUCUUCAAGUUUGUCAGUGGAAUUCUUGGGCGAAAGAUUGUAUUGAGGGACCCUUAUCGGUUUCAUCACUUCACCGAUGGAAAUUGUUCCUGUUCCGACUAUUGGUAGUGAAGUUACUCAUAACCUGAUCAAUUUCUGACUUCUCCAACGAUCAAGAAGGAGAUACAGAAAUCCUUUAGAUUUUGAACAAAAAUCGGGACUUAGAAUGAUGUGAUGGUGAUCUAGAAGGAUGGUGUGAUGAUCCAAGUUUUUGUUCCACUAUUCGAAGUCUCUCAAAUUUUGUUCAAAAUACCGGAAGGUUUCUACUUUGAGAGUAAGCUUGAAACGUUUGUGAAAGAUCAAGGUAAUAUUGAAAUUUUGGAAAGAAUAUGGGCAAAGUUUAAAGAACAAACCUUGGAUGUAUGUUUGGAUGAUUUUUUUUAUUUUUUCCCCUAUUUUUUUCAUCUGUUCUCCUGAUAGAUGUGUGUAGGCAAAAGCAAAACCUUGAAAAGCAGGAGAGAAGAACAGUGACAUUAUGUGGUGAUCGGUUCUUGGCUAUAUCUAUCAAGAAGAGGUAACUAUUUAUUAGUCCAAAGGGCUUUAGAAUAUAAGUGGUUCUUUCAGUUUUCAAUUCUUUGUAGCUGUCUCAUGACUUUCAAUGUUCCUUCAUAAUAAAGUUCAUGAAAAGAGAACAAUGUGUUAAUACUUUUCUUUUCCUUCCCUUCAAUUGCAUAUUAUCUGCCCUUUCA